AUUGAACGCUGGCGGCAGGCCUAACACAUGCAGGUCGAGCGGAGGAAGGGAGCUUGCUCCUGGAUUCAGCGGCGGACGGGUGAGUAAUGCCUAGGAAUCUGCCUGGUAGUGGGGGAUAACGUCCGGAAACGGGCGCUAAUACCGCAUACGUCCUGAGGGAGAAAGUGGGGGAUCUUCGGACCUCACGCUAUUAGAUGAGCCUAGGUCGGAUUAGCUAGUUGGUGGGGUAAAGGCCUACCAAGGCGACGAUCCGUAACUGGUCUGAGAGGAUGAUCAGUCACACUGGAACUGAGACACGGUCCAGACUCCUACGGGAGGCAGCAGUGGGGAAUAUUGGACAAUGGGCGAAAGCCUGAUCCAGCCAUGCCGCGUGUGUGAAGAAGGUCUUCGGAUUGUAAAGCACUUUAGGUUGGGAGGAAGGGAAGUAAGUUAAUACCUUGCUGUUUUGACGUUACCAACAGAAUAAGCACCGGCUAACUUCGUG
rnacentral:rRNA from 1 species